rnacentral:rRNA from 1 species
UCCUCCCUCUGGCGGCGUGCUUAACACAUGCAAGUCGAACGGAGAGGCCCUGCUUUUGUGGGGUGCUCGAGUGGCGAAAGGGUGAGUAACACGUGAGUAAAAUGCCCUUGCCUUUGGGAUAACUUCCGGAAACUGGGGCUCAUACCGGAUAGGUGCUCCUGCUGCCUGGUGGGGGUUGGAAAGUUUCGGCGGUUGGGGAUGGACUCGCGGCUUAUCAGCUUGGUGGUGGGGUAGUGGCUUACCAAGGCUUUGACGGGUAGCCGGCCUGAGAGGGUGACAGGCCACAUUGGGACAGAGAUACGGCCCAGACUCCUACGGGAGGCAGCAGUGAGGAAUAGUGCACAAUGUGCGGAAGCCUGAUGCAGCAACGCCGCGUGCGGGAGUACUGCCUUCGUGUUGUAAACCGCUUUCGCCUGUGACUAAGCGUGAGUGAGGGUAGUGGGUAAAGAAGCACCGGCUAACUACGUG